UUUAUUUUUUUAGAGUAUUGCCUUCUCAGUUGCCUUUAAAGAGGUUGGGGAUAUGAAUAAAGGUGCAGAACUACGUUGCUUACUGAAAUCAACCCAAAUUAAAACGAACCUACAUCCUGUACAAGGCCAUCUGGUGGCAAGGUGCCCUGGUGUCUACAUUUUAGUUUUUGAUAACAGGUUUUCUAGGUUCAGAGCCCAUAAAGUCAACUAUUCUCUAAAAAUUCAACGUGCCAAAAGUUUAUGUACAGAGAAAACAGACAAGAUAGAGUGAUGGUCAAGUUAACCUAGCAACUGUAAUUUGUUCAUUUUUGUUGAAUUCAAAAUUACUAUUUUGGCAUUUUGGAAUUUUUUCCUAGUUUAAACCUGGGUAAAGUAUUUAUGUUGAUCUUAUCUAAUUUAUUUCAUGUUUUUAUGGUAUCCCAUAAUAUCACAAUUUUAAUUAGAAUCAUUGUUUUCUUGCAUUUUGUAUUAACAACUAUGUAUUAUAAUGUAUCGAUAUAAACUUUAAACUUUGUAGCUCUGAAUUUGGUAGCUCUCUUGAUACAUUCAAUAACAUUAGAGACUGUAGAAAAUAUAAAAAAGAUAUUUUUACUUCGUUAAGAACUUGUGUGGAAUUAUGGCAGUUUUUAAAAUGUCUCUUACUUAAGACAAGGUAGUAGUAUGCAUGAUGGAGGUUUUGUAAAAAUCUUCAAAAAUUAUUAACUUUGUAUACAACUUUGCCACUCUAUCAGAGUACCUAACAGUAUUAAGAAAAGAGUGGAUAUUUUUUUAUCAGUUUUAUUCGUUUAAUGAUAAAAACUUGUAUGUAUGAUCAGAACAUUGGGAUUAAUGUGAACACUUUUCUCUAAAUUUGUUUAUUAUUUUAUCAAUAUUUUUUAUUCUUAGUGAUUUAAUAAUGAAGAAAAAUAGGAAAUGUUUUGGGCUUAAAAGUUUUUGCUGAAUUAGUAUUUUACGAGUUCCAUUUUGUACAGUUUUGAGGAGAUGAAGCAAAAAAAAAAGAUAUGGGUCAUUGAAAGUCGUGAAUUAUUUGGAGAGAUGUUUAUUAUUGUUGGUAACAAGUACUUGCUCUUCCCAGCUGAUUCGGUGACAGUCAUGAAACAGUCUUCCUCAGAAACAAUAAGUCUUACUUGUAUAACUCAUUCACUCUACUGCUAUGGGAAUUACCAAGAGCACUGACACAUUUGCUGUAAGGUCAUUAACUAAAUAAUUACUAAUGAUAAUCCAGAGUACAUUUAAAGCCUUGCUGUUAUACAGGUUUAAACCUUUUUUUUAUGUUUAACAAAUCAUGAAAUCUCUCAAAUUAUGGUUGAACAUAUCUAUAUAAAAAAAAAUAGUCUAAAACCUGUACAUGUUUGAAUGUUGUAUAAUAAUUAACCAAUAAGAGAGUAAUGAAAUAUAAACCUUCGUUCCAAGAUACUUCUAUUAGUAGGAACCUAUAAGAGGUAUUAUGCCAUCAAGGUCUUGGUUAAACUGUUUUUCAUAAAAUGGUGAACAAGUGUUAUAUGUAAUAAGUUCAAACAAUUAUUACUUUUAUUUGUGUAUAACUUGAAAGUCUGUAGUCGUCCUUAACAAAAUAAGAACCUUGAAAUGAAGUUUGGAAAUAAAUAAUUCCUCAAAAUAAAAUUGUUGAAUGUUUUACCCACUAUUGUUGUGUAAGAUUUAGCAGUUUCUUGUUAACUUCUGUUUGAUACUAUAUUUCCAUCUGGUGCAUAAAAUAUAUUUAUUUAUAUAUAGCAUAAACUACGAUCAAAUGGUCAUUGUUAUUGCUAUAAAAGAGAAAAUCUUGUUACAGUUCUCCUUGAUAAAUGGUCUGUUGUCAUGGAGAGAGAGGUUUUUAAACAGGAAUGUUAACAAUGUGCUCUUCACUAAAGUUUUUAAAACUGUUGGAGUAGAAUAAAUGUACAGAGUUUAUUUUCA
rnacentral:lncRNA from 1 species